GGCCAGACUGUGCUGGUUCUCUUCUAAUCUGAGGUGGUGGUCUCCUCAAUUCUCAAUAAGGGUUCUUACCUCAACUUAAAGGGAGGGCCUUAGCUCCAUCCAAUCUGCUGACCUAGGAUCAACCCCUUCAAAUCAAGCCCUCAACUCUUUGAGAGUCUAGAAGAAGAAGCGACAGGGUUCUUAGCUAAACAGCCCUGCCAGGGUCUCUGAGACUGAGGGCAGGGCUGGAGUUGUGCAGAGAUCCCUUUGGUCAGGCAUGGGAGGCCCCCUUAGUUCUUCUAUUGUACCUUGUGGUAAAAGAUUACAUUGUCCAAGGAAAUGCCUAGAGAAAAAUCCUUGCCCAGAGAGAGGUCUGGCCGUGGCUCCUGGGAGGCAGUCUCUAAGCCCUUGGGAUGUCUUGCCUGAUCAUCGUGUCCAUGUUUAUCUGGAAACCUUGGGCCGCACUGGAUAGGCUGUGCUGAAAAUGACUUAUGAUGGCAGCCUUGGGUCACAUGGUAUUCGCUUGGCCUCCAGAGGUGCUAAUGCUCGAAGUUAGUUGUGUGGGUGGUCAACCACGUCAACCCGACUCAGUCUCAAUAAAAACAAUGGGCACAAAGGCUCAGGUGAGCUUCUGGAGUUAGCAAUACUCCAUGUGUACUGUCAUACCUAGAAGUUAGUGCUGUCUGGGACUCAACACAGAGAGGAACGCUGGAAGCUCUGUGCCUGGAACUCCCUGGGCUCUGCCCUGUGUGCCUCUUCUCCUGGCUGAUUUUAAUCUGAUCUGAGAUUCCUUCCUCUGUUGACCUGAUGCCUUUGCUGUCAGGCCCCACCGCAGAGAAAACACCGAGGAGGAAGUGAUCAUGCCUGUCUUCCAGUAACCUCUACCCUGGGCCUCUGAGAGCAGAUAGCACAGGUGAGGGUCUCUGCACCUUCUGGUUUGCUUGGUCUCCUCCAUCCUCCCUCAGACUCCUCAGCUAGACUUCUAGGAGGACCUGGGUCUCCUCUUUCUGCUCACUUGAGGUCAACCCCUUAGAUCCAGUCUGAGCCACACAGAGAGCCUCUUUAGGAGAAAGCCAGUGGAGGCCUCAGUGAGAUAGCCCUACUGGGGGCCUUGCAUGGCUGACCACAGAAGUCAGAUUUUGUGGGACCCCCUCUGUUCUGGGGUGGGUUGUGCCUUUCAUCUUCAUCCAGGGUCUGUGCCUUGGUACCUGGCAGGGAAUGGGUGGCCUCCCUUCUGCUGAACUGAGUCCUCCACCACCACUUACCCAAGGCCUCACCAUCCUGAGACACCUGCAGGGAAGCAAGGAAACAUUUCAUCUUGUUAGCCCUUCCCAGGCCUUCCAGAGCCGACAGCAGGGGUGGGACUCUGGCAUCCUCUCUGCUCCAGAGCGACUGAUCCCCUGAAUACUCACUCGGGGUCCUCACCGUGAUUCCUGGAAUGGAAUAGACUUUCUCUUUUCUACUAAUCUGAGUCCUGACCCCUCAGACCAUGGCUCUCACCUCCAGGAGACCUCUGAUGGGGAAGUUGAGGAAUCUCAUCCUGCCUGGGGUCUCCAGGGGAUGACAGCAGGGGCCAGCCAGACUCCAGGGCCCACUCUAUCUGGCUUUAGUACAACAUGGGUCCUCAUGCUGUGGUCAACCCCUUGGCUGCAAUCAGGGCCUGGGAUCCAUUGCUGAUCUGAGGCUUCUGUUCCGAAAACCAACACCCUUACCUCCCAGUCUCCUGAGGAGGAGUGAGGAUGCACUGCCAGAGUCAGUUGGCCUCCCCUUCCUGGGAUCUUCCAGGGCUGACAGCAGGGCUGGUGGUGACGGAGCUCUAUAGAGCCUCAUUUGUUCUGAAGGUAAGAAAGUUUUCUGCAGGAAUGAGUUCUGCUGCUUCUUCAGAAUGCAGUCAGACUUGUUCUGUCUCUUUUCCUUUCCCUUCCCCUAUAGCAUGUGUGUGUGUGUGUGUGUGUGUGUGUGACAUUUUCAUGUAUACAGGGUUUGAUUUCUGGACCUGCUAUCCUUUUCCAUUAAUCAAUUUAUCAGUUCCUAAUCCAGAACCAUACUGCUUAACUGUUGCAUUAACUUUGCUAUCACUUAAGCCAAUUCCCUGUUCAUUAUCUGCUUUUCUUCAAUCCAAUCUUGGUUUUACAGCUGUUACAUUGCUGUGUAUUUAUCCAGUUCACCUUUAAGUUCAAUUAUAAUCCUAAACAUUUUCUCAUAUCUCAUGCAGGUUUUAUUAGAAUAUGACAUAUUCAUGUGUUCAGAAUUUUCAUGACCUUCAUUAAAGUUUUUCAUUUUCUUUUGUUUAACAAUGGAACCAUUUUUCCUAAGUUUAUUUCUAGAUAUAUUAUUAUUUAUAAUUACUGUUUAGAAUGCAC
rnacentral:lncRNA from 1 species